AUUGAACGCUGGCGGCAUGCCUUACACAUGCAAGUCGAACGGCAGCACGGGCUUCGGUCUGGUGGCGAGUGGCGAACGGGUGAGUAAUGUAUCGGAACGUACCUUUCAGUGGGGGAUAACGUAGCGAAAGUUACGCUAAUACCGCAUAUUCUGUGAGCAGGAAAGCAGGGGAUCGCAAGACCUUGCGCUGAUUGAGCGGCCGAUAUCAGAUUAGCUAGUUGGUGAGGUAAAGGCUCACCAAGGCGACGAUCUGCAGCGGGUCUGAGAGGAUGAUCCGCCACACUGGAACUGAGACACGGUCCAGACUCCUACGGGAGGCAGCAGUGGGGAAUUUUGGACAAUGGGGGCAACCCUGAUCCAGCCAUGCCGCGUGAGUGAAGAAGGCCUUCGGGUUGUAAAGCUCUUUCGGCCGGGAAGAAAUCGCAUGGGUUAAUACCCUGUGCGGAUGACGGUACCGGCAUAAGAAGCACCGGCUAACUACGUGCCAGCCGCCGCUGUAACAC
rnacentral:rRNA from 1 species